CCCUUAGAUGUCCUGGGCCGCACGCGUGCUACACUGACACUUACACCGAGUUUUUCCAAUGCCGAAAGGCCAUUGGUAAUCAGCAAUAAGUGUCGUGAUGGGGAUAGACUUUUGCAAUUUUUGGUCUUCAACGAGGAAUUCCUAGUAAACGCAAGUCAUCAACUUGCAUUGAUUACGUCCCUGCCCUUUGUACACACCGCCCGUCGCACCUACCGAUUGAAUGGUCCGGUGAAGCCUCCGGAUUGGCGUGCACCCUCGGGUGCUGCCGAGAAGUUGGCUAAACCUUACCAUUUAGAGGAAGGUGAAGUCGUAACA
rnacentral:rRNA from 1 species